UGAUGGCAGUGAUGAUGCCUAUGUUGUUGCUUUCCUGAUGUACAGAUGUGAGGGUGUACAGUCACUACCUCAUCUGAGCCAUCU
ensembl:snoRNA small nucleolar RNA, C/D box 11B